AAUGUAAACUAAAAGAAGCGAGUCAGCUCCAGUCAAGCUAUAACUUGAAAUUUUACACACGAGUUAGAUCGAACAGAACUACAGAUGCUGUUUUGAUAAGUUAUUUCAAUAUUGUUUGUCUCCAUCACUUGGCUAUGUGUCGCGCCAUAUGUGUUGGUUGCUUUACAUGAUGAAUUCUAUAUACCUUAAUUCAUAUACAUAUUUUCCACCAAAGUAAGUUUUUUAAGAAUAGAGCAUAACUUUAUAUUCUUUUCAUGAUUUUAUAAAUGAUUUCAUAUUAAGAGAGGCCAUGGGGUAGCUCAGUAUCUUGGUAAAUCGCAGGUAUGUAUUGUAAUGUUGUUGGUUUGUUUUUAACGUUUUUUAUUUGGUUGUUGUAAUGGUUUGUUGUUUGAGUUGGAACAUGUGGAUUGAAUUUGCUCUUUUACAACCCUUUACAGUUCUUUCAUGUUAUAUUGCAUGAUUCAAUCACCCAUUUUAUUCAAUUUUUUUCUAUGACAUUUAAGUUUCAUCAUGAACAACAUUUAUGCACACCACCUGUUUGAUGAAAUGCCUGACUGAAAUUGAAAAUUUGUGUUCUUUAUUUUUAUUUAUUUUUUUUUUGUGUGAAACUUUCGAAUUUUAUCAGUAGGGUAAAAGUUUUUAACCAAAGUUAUAUAAUACGAUUAGUAUUGAAAAGUUUUUAUAAACUUGAUAAGAUGAAUAAUGAUGUUGAAAUCUAUGACUUUCAAGUCUGAGUUUGACUUUAUUUAGUCAAACAAAGAUAGUUUUAGGCCUUCGUUUUUCAGAUGUCAACGGCCCUUUGGUUUAAAUUUUGAUUACGUUUUCUGCGGUGAAUGCAAUGAAGAUGUUCUGCAUAUAAUAUUUCCAAACAUGAUGAUCUUGGCGAGGCAAAGAUGAGAUUAUCCACAUCUUGGCGGGGCAACCUGGAUGGUCAUGUGAAAGAUUGAAUAAGUUUGUGCUAUCACAUUACAAUCGGUUGAUAACUUGCGGCUGGGAAUGAGUGGCGACCAUAAUUUGAUUGUAAAGUUGUUAGUUCAACGCUGAUGUUGCAGAAGGGCCGGCCUAAUUGCUGAAUGUUUGGUAGGAUAUGAGACCGAGACUAUAUUGUUCACUGCAAGGAAUAAUCAAGAUAUUUAGAGUGGCGAAGAAGGAGAUGUAGUAUGCCUACAAACUGUCGGUGGAUCUAAUCGGUAUGGAAGUACAUUUGCACAACUAAAAACAUGUCUAUUGAUGGGAAGUCUCUAGCCAACUAGGAUGAGUUUUUUCAUUCCAAAGGUUCAUGUCGCUAUAUCUUAGUAUCACUUUUCUUUCAACAAACGAACUUU
rnacentral:lncRNA from 1 species